GGUAGUCGAGGGCUGGAGCCCAUAUCCGUCUGAUAAGCGGAUCGCGCUGAGUUCAAUUCUCAGGGCUACCAC
rnacentral:tRNA from 1 species